UACGGGGGGGGCAAGCGUUGUUCGGAAUUACUGGGCGUAAAGGGCUCGUAGGUGGCCAACUAAGUCAGACGUGAAAUCCCUCGGCUUAACCGGGGAACUGCGUCCGAUACUGGUUGGCUUGAAUUCGGGAGAGGGAUGUGGAAUUCCAGGUGUAGCGGUGAAAUGCGUAGAUAUCUGGAGGAACACCGGUGGCGAAGGCGGCAUCCUGGACCGAUAUUGACGCUGAUGCGCGAAAGCCAGGGGAGCAAACGGG
rnacentral:rRNA from 1 species